AUUGAACGCUGGCGGCAGGCCUAACACAUGCAAGUCGAGCGGAGCAGCGGUCGGGUGAGUAAUACCAAGGAAUCUGCCUGGUUGUGGGGGAUAACGUUCGGAAACGGGCGCUAAUACCACAUACAAUCAGCUGAGGCUAGGUAGGAUUAGGUAGUGGGUGGGGUAAAGGCCUACCAAGGCGACGACCCGUAACUGGUCUGAGAGGAUGAUCAGUCACACUGGAACUGAGACACGGUCCAGACUCCUACGGGAGGCAGCAGUGGGGAAUAUUGCACAAUGGGCGCAAGCCUGAUGCAGCCAUGCCGCGUGUAUGAAGAAGGCCUUCGGGUUGUAAAGUACUUUCAGUCGGGAGGCGUUACCGACAGAAGAAGCACCGGCUAACUCCGUGCCAGCAGCCGCGGUAAUAC
rnacentral:rRNA from 1 species